GAUCCGCUGUCUUCUAUAUCUACCCUGUAGAUCCGGAUUUGUGUGAAAACUGCUACACCAAUCACAAAUUCGCUUCUAGGGGAGUAUAUAGUUGAUUUGAACACUACG
rnacentral:pre_miRNA from 10 species